UACGUAGGGGGCAAGCGUUGUCCGGAAUUAUUGGGCGUAAAGAGCGCGUAGGCGGUCCGGUAAGUCGGUUGUGAAAGUCGGGGGCUCAACCCUCGGAUGCCGAUCGAUACUGUCGGGCUAGAGUCCGGAAGAGGCGAGUGGAAUUCCUGGUGUAGCGGUGAAAUGCGCAGAUAUCAGGAGGAACACCGGUGGCGAAGGCGGUUCUCUGGGCAUUACCUGACGCUGAGGAGCGAAAGUGUGGGGAGCGAACAGG
rnacentral:rRNA from 1 species